GACGAACGCUGGCGGCGUGCUUAACACAUGCAAGUCGAACGAAGAGCGAUGGAAGCUUGCUUCUAUCAAUCUUAGUGGCGCACGGGUGAGUAACGCGUAAUCAACCUGCCCUUCAGAGGGGGACAACAGUUGGAAACGACUGCUAAUACCGCAUACGAUCUAAUCUCGGCAUCGAGGAUAGAUGAAAGGUGGCCUCUACAUGUAAGCUAUCACUGAAGGAGGGGAUUGCGUCUGAUUAGCUAGUUGGAGGGGUAACGGCCCACCAAGGCGAUGAUCAGUAGCCGGUCUGAGAGGAUGAACGGCCACAUUGGGACUGAGACACGGCCCAGACUCCUACGGGAGGCAGCAGUGGGGAAUCUUCCGCAAUGGACGAAAGUCUGACGGAGCAACGCCGCGUGAGUGAUGACGGCCUUCGGGUUGUAAAGCUCUGUUAAUCGGGACGAAAGGCCUUCUUGCGAAUAGUGAGAAGGAUUGACGGUACCGGAAUAGAAAGCCACGGCGAACUACGU
rnacentral:rRNA from 1 species